rnacentral:rRNA from 1 species
UACAGAGGUCCCAAGCGUUGUUCGGAUUCACUGGGCGUAAAGGGUGCGUAGGUGGUGUGGCAAGUUUGAUGUGAAAUCUCCGGGCUUAACCCGGAAAUGGCAUUGAAUACUGCCAGGCUGGAGGGUUGGAGGGGGGACUGGAAUUCUCGGUGUAGCAGUGAAAUGCGUAGAUAUCGAGAGGAACACCAGUGGCGAAGGCGAGUCCCUGGACAACACCUGACACUGAGGCACGAAAGCUAGGGGAGCAAACAGG